CGGGGGAGGCCCGAUCCUGGGCUGUGUCCCGGCGCCCUGUGCUCCCGGUAUGCGUUGUUGGAUUCGGCGCUCCCGCCCCCCGCAGCCCCCU
rnacentral:pre_miRNA from 1 species